UACGAAGGGGGCUAGCGUUGUUCGGAAUUACUGGGCGUAAAGCGCACGUAGGCGGAUUGGUCAGUUAGGGGUGAAAUCCCCGGGCUUAACCUGGGAACUGCGCUUGUAACUAGCAGGCUAGAGUGUGGCAGAGGGGGGUGGAAUUCCCGGUGUAGCGGUGAAAUGCGUAGAUAUCGGGAGGAUUAUCUGAUGCUACGGCGACCACCUGGACCUACACUGACGCUGAGGUGCGAAAGCGUGGGUAGCAAACAGG
rnacentral:rRNA from 1 species